rnacentral:rRNA from 1 species
UACGUGGGGAGCAAGCGUUGUUCGGAUUUACUGGGCGUAAAGGGCGCGUAGGCGGUAGCACAAGUCAGUUGUGAAAUCUCCGGGCUUAACUCGGAAAGGUCAACUGAUACUGUGCGACUAGAGUGCAGAAGGGGCAACUGGAAUUCCUGGUGUAGCGGUGAAAUGCGCAGAUAUCAGGAGGAACACCAAUGGCGAAGGCAGCACUCUGGGACGUGACUGACGCUGAGACGCGAAAGCGUGGGGAGCAAACAGG